GGUCUGCUAGCGCAGUUGGUAGCGCGCGGGUCUCAUAAUCCCGAGGUCGGGAGUUCGAUCCUCCCGCAGACCA
rnacentral:tRNA from 1 species